UAACCUGCCCAAUAGAUCGGGAUAACACCUGGAAACAGAUGCUAAUACCGGAUAACAACAGAUGAUGCCUAUCAACUGUUUAAAAGAUGGUUCUGCUAUCACUCUUGGAUGGACCUGCGGUGCAUUAGCUAGUUGGUAGGGUAACGGCCUACCAAGGCGAUGAUGCAUAGCCGAGUUGAGAGACUGAUCGGCCACAUUGGGACUGAGACACGGCCCAAACUCCUACGGGAGGCAGCAGCU
rnacentral:rRNA from 1 species